rnacentral:rRNA from 1 species
UGGGGAAUCUUGGACAAUGGGGGCAACCCUGAUCCAGCGACGCCGCGUGGGUGAUGAAGGCCUUCGGGUCGUAAAGCCCUUUUGCCGGGGAAGAUGAUGACGGUACCCGGAGAAGAAGCACCGGCUAACUCUGUGCCAGCAGCCGCGGUAAGACAGAGGGUGCUAGCGUUGUUCGGAAUUACUGGGCGUAAAGGGCGCGUAGGCGGCCAUGUAAGUCGGGUGUGAAAUCCCGGGGCUCAACCCCGGAACUGCAUUCGAUACUGUGUGGCUUGAGACCGGAAGAGGUGGGUGGAAUACCCAGUGUAGAGGUGAAAUUCGUAGAUAUUGGGUGGAACACCGGUGGCGAAGGCGGCUCACUGGUCCGGUUCUGACGCUGAGGCGCGAAAGCGUGGGGAGCAAACAGG